UUAAGCGACUAAGCGUACACGGUGGAUGCCCUGGCAGUCAGAGGCGAUGAAGGGCGUGCUAAUCUGCGAUAAGCGCCGGUAAGGUGAUAUGAACCGUUAUAACCGGCGAUACCCGAAUGGGGAAACCCAGUGUGACUCGUCACACUAUCAUUAACUGAAUCCAUAGGUUAAUGAGGCGAACCGGGGGAACUGAAACAUCUAAGUACCCCGAGGAAAAGAAAUCAACCGGAGAUUCCCCCAGUAGCGGCGAGCGAACGGGGAGGAGCCCAGAGCCUGAAUCAGCAUGUGUGUUAGUGGAAGCGUCUGGAAAGGCGCGCGAUACAGGGUGACAGCCCCGUACACAAAAGCGCAUGUGCUGUGAGCUCGAUGAGUAGGGCGGGACACGUGGUAUCCUGUCUGAAUAUGGGGGGACCAUCCUCCAAGGCUAAAUACUCCUGACUGACCGAUAGUGAACCAGUACCGUGAGGGAAAGGCGAAAGAACCCCGGCGAGGGGAGUGAAAAAGAACCUGAAACCGUGUACGUACAAGCAGUGGGGAGCACCCUUUUGGGUGUGACUGCGUACCUUUUGUAUAAUGGGUCAGCGACUUAUAUUCUGUAGCAAGGUUAACCGUAUAGGGGAGCCGUAGGGAAACCGAGUCUUAACCGGGCGUUAAGUUGCAGGGUAUAGACCCGAAACCCGGUGAUCUAGCCAUGGGCAGGUGAAGGUUGGGUAACACUAACUGGAGGACCGAACCGACUAAUGUUGAAAAAUUAGCGGGAUGACCUGUGGCUGGGGGGUGAAAGGCCAAUCAAACCGGGAGAUAGCUGGUUCUCCCCGAAAGCUAUUUAGGUAGCGCCUCGUGAAUUCAUCUCCGGGGGUAGAGCACUGUUUCGGCUAGGGGGCCAUCCCGGCUUACCAACCCGAUGCAAACUGCGAAUACCGGAGAAUGUUAUCACGGGAGACACACGGCGGGUGCUAACGUCCGUCGUGAAGAGGGAAACAACCCAGACCGCCAGCUAAGGUCCCAAAGUCAUGGUUAAGUGGGAAACGAUGUGGGAAGGCCCAGACAGCCAGGAUGUUGGCUUAGAAGCAGCCAUCAUUUAAAGAAAGCGUAAUAGCUCACUGGUCGAGUCGGCCUGCGCGGAAGAUGUAACGGGGCUAAACCAUGCACCGAAGCUGCGGCAGCGACACUAUGUGUUGUUGGGUAGGGGAGCGUUCUGUAAGCCUGUGAAGGUGUGCUGUGAGGCAUGCUGGAGGUAUCAGAAGUGCGAAUGCUGACAUAAGUAACGAUAAAGCGGGUGAAAAGCCCGCUCGCCGGAAGACCAAGGGUUCCUGUCCAACGUUAAUCGGGGCAGGGUGAGUCGACCCCUAAGGCGAGGCCGAAAGGCGUAGUCGAUGGGAAACGGGUUAAUAUUCCCGUACUUGGUGUUACUGCGAAGGGGGGACGGAGAAGGCUAUGUUGGCCGGGCGACGGUUGUCCCGGUUUAAGCGUGUAGGCUGGUUUUCCAGGCAAAUCCGGAAAAUCAAGGCUGAGGCGUGAUGACGAGGCACUACGGUGCUGAAGCAACAAAUGCCCUGCUUCCAGGAAAAGCCUCUAAGCAUCAGGUAACAUCAAAUCGUACCCCAAACCGACACAGGUGGUCAGGUAGAGAAUACCAAGGCGCUUGAGAGAACUCGGGUGAAGGAACUAGGCAAAAUGGUGCCGUAACUUCGGGAGAAGGCACGCUGACACGUAGGUGAAGUGAUUUACUCAUGGAGCUGAAGUCAGUCGAAGAUACCAGCUGGCUGCAACUGUUUAUUAAAAACACAGCACUGUGCAAACACGAAAGUGGACGUAUACGGUGUGACGCCUGCCCGGUGCCGGAAGGUUAAUUGAUGGGGUCAGCGCAAGCGAAGCUCCUGAUCGAAGCCCCGGUAAACGGCGGCCGUAACUAUAACGGUCCUAAGGUAGCGAAAUUCCUUGUCGGGUAAGUUCCGACCUGCACGAAUGGCGUAAUGAUGGCCAGGCUGUCUCCACCCGAGACUCAGUGAAAUUGAACUCGCUGUGAAGAUGCAGUGUACCCGCGGCAAGACGGAAAGACCCCGUGAACCUUUACUAUAGCUUGACACUGAACAUUGAGCCUUGAUGUGUAGGAUAGGUGGGAGGCUUUGAAGUGUGGACGCCAGUCUGCAUGGAGCCGACCUUGAAAUACCACCCUUUAAUGUUUGAUGUUCUAACGUGGACCCGUGAUCCGGGUUGCGGACAGUGUCUGGUGGGUAGUUUGACUGGGGCGGUCUCCUCCUAAAGAGUAACGGAGGAGCACGAAGGUUGGCUAAUCCUGGUCGGACAUCAGGAGGUUAGUGCAAUGGCAUAAGCCAGCUUGACUGCGAGCGUGACGGCGCGAGCAGGUGCGAAAGCAGGUCAUAGUGAUCCGGUGGUUCUGAAUGGAAGGGCCAUCGCUCAACGGAUAAAAGGUACUCCGGGGAUAACAGGCUGAUACCGCCCAAGAGUUCAUAUCGACGGCGGUGUUUGGCACCUCGAUGUCGGCUCAUCACAUCCUGGGGCUGAAGUAGGUCCCAAGGGUAUGGCUGUUCGCCAUUUAAAGUGGUACGCGAGCUGGGUUUAGAACGUCGUGAGACAGUUCGGUCCCUAUCUGCCGUGGGCGCUGGAGAACUGAGGGGGGCUGCUCCUAGUACGAGAGGACCGGAGUGGACGCAUCACUGGUGUUCGGGUUGUCAUGCCAAUGGCACUGCCCGGUAGCUAAAUGCGGAAGAGAUAAGUGCUGAAAGCAUCUAAGCACGAAACUUGCCCCGAGAUGAGUUCUCCCUGAGACUUUAAGUCUCCUGAAGGAACGUUGAAGACGACGACGUUGAUAGGCCGGGUGUGUAAGCGCAGCGAUGCGUUGAGCUAACCGGUACUAAUGAACCGUGAGGCUUAACCUU
rnacentral:rRNA from 1 species